CACGUAGGGGGCUAGCGUUGUCCGGAAUCAUUGGGCGUAAAGAGCGCGUAGGCGGCCAGAUAAGUCCGGUGUGAAAGUCACAGGCUCAACCUGUGAAUGCCGCUGGAAACUGUCUGGCUAGAGUCCGGGAGGGGCGAGUGGAAUUCCUGGUGUAGCGGUGAAAUGCGCAGAUAUCAGGAGGAACACCAAUGGCGAAGGCAGCUGGCUACACGAAUAUUGACACUGAUGCACGAAAAGCGUGGGGGAUCAAAACAGG
rnacentral:rRNA from 1 species